CGCCUUUCCCCGGGGCUCUCCCGCCGCUCGGCCCUACCGCAUCGGCGCCUCGCGGGCUCCGCGCCCGGGCGGCGGCGCUUCGGGGCGCUCCGAUGGGCUGUGAAGGGCAGCGCGGCCGCGGGAGGGCCUUGCUCCCUCCCUGCCAGGCCGGGCCCGGCGUGCGGGGAAGAUGCCGGGGCCGCCGUGGCAGCAUCCUGGCAUGGAAGGUGAUCCCAGUGUGUGGGAUGGCUGCUGACAGCCUCAGCUCGGCAGCAUUGGGCAGGGUUGUCGCUUGGUGUUUUCGGAGCUCGCUCAGCUGAUGGCCUGCCUGCCGGAUAGACCCGAGGAAUUACUCGCUUAGUGGAAAAGGCGGAGAGCUGAUGAGCCCCUGUCCCCGGUGAAGGCGUUCGCUUUGCUUUCCUUAGGGCCCGAAUCGGGGGGAAAGCUGUGACGUGGAGCACGUCUAAGUAGAGUGUGGAGCUGAGCUGAGCCCAGUCCCGGAGGGUUUCGGUGCUGCAGUGCAAGACUUCUUUUCCAGCCCUCUGCUCCGGAAGCGGGAGCUCUGCGUAGCCAGAUCCUGGCUCCUUCCCGAGCCGUGAGCUCCCCCGGGUGGGAACAGCCGCUCCCGUGCUCCGCUCGCCUGCACCACCGACUUGUUUGGCUCCAGGUGCCGCUCAAGCUCCCAUUCAAACACUCAGCAUGGAAGAACGGUCCCUUCUGUGGAGUUUUAUGAGGAGAAGAGCUUGGGGAGGGUCUGGAUAUAAAAUAUUUUGAGGGUGAAUAAAUGCAAUCACUUGA